GUAAUGUCUGGGAAACUGCCUGAUGGAGGGGGAUAACUACUGGAAACGGUGGCUAAUACCGCAUAACGUCGCAAGACCAAAGAGGGGGACCUUCGGGCCUCUUGCCAUCAGAUGUGCCCAGAUGGGAUUAGCUAGUUGGUGAGGUAACGGCUCACCAAGGCGACGAUCCCUAGCUGGUCUGAGAGGAUGACCAGCCACACUGGAACUGAGACACGGUCCAGACUCCUACGGGAGGCAGCAGUGGGGAAUAUUGCACAAUGGGCGCAAGCCUGAUGCAGCCAUGCCGCGUGUAUGAAGAAGGCCUUCGGGUUGUAAAGUACUUUCAGCGGGGAGGAAGGUGUUGUGGUUAAUAACCGCAGCAAUUGACGUUACCCGCAGAAGAAGCACCGGCUAACUCCGUGCCAGCAGCCGCGGUAAUACGGAGGGUGCAAGCGUUAAUCGGAAUUACUGGGCGUAAAGCGCACGCAGGCGGUCUGUCAAGUCGGA
rnacentral:rRNA from 1 species